rnacentral:rRNA from 1 species
CAGUCGCCGCGGUAAGACGAACCGUGCGAACGUUAUUCGGAAUCACUGGGCUUAAAGCGCGUGUAGGCGGGCCGCCACGUCGGCUGCUGAAAUCCCCCGGCUCAACCGGGGAACGGGCACCGAUACGAGCGGCCUCGAGGGGGGUAGGGGGGUCUGGAACUUCCGGUGGAGCGGUGAAAUGCGUUGAGAUCGGAAGGAACACCAGUGGCGAAGGCGACCACCUGGACUAAUACUGACACUGAGGUGCGAAAGCGUGGGGAGCAAACAGGAUUAGAUACCCCUGUAGUCCCUGUCUCUUAUA